GCCGAUGUCUGAUUAGCUAGUUGGUGGGGUAAAGGCCUACCAAGGCGACGAUCAGUAGUUGGUCUGAGAGGACGACCAGCCACACUGGGACUGAGACACGGCCCAGACUCCUACGGGAGGCAGCAGUGGGGAAUUUUGGACAAUGGGCGCAAGCCUGAUCCAGCAAUGCCGCGUGAGUGAAGAAGGCCUUCGGGUUGUAAAGCUCUUUCAGUCGAGAAGAAAAAGCUGCAGUGAAUAACUGUAGUUCAUGACGGUAUCGACAGAAGA
rnacentral:rRNA from 2 species